UACGUAGGGUGCAAGCGUUGUCCGGAAUUAUUGGGCGUAAAGAGCGUGUAGGCGGCCCCGUUAGUCCGCUGUGAAAGUCCAGGGCUCAACUGGAAUGCCGGUGGAUACUGCGGGGCUAGAGUCCGGAAGGGGCGAGUGGAAUUCCUGGUGUAGCGGUGAAAUGCGCAGAUAUCAGGAGGAACACCAAUGGCGAAGGCAGCUCGCUGGGACGUGACUGACGCUGGAGACGCGAAGCGUGGGAGCAACAGGAUAAAAACCCCGGUAGGUCAAGACCGAAUGAUCCUCUCGCUAC
rnacentral:rRNA from 1 species